rnacentral:rRNA from 1 species
CCUACGGGAUGCAGCAGUGAGGAAUAUUGGUCAAUGGGCUUACGCCUGAACCAGCCAAGUCGCGUGAGGGAAGACUGCCCUAUGGGUUGUAAACCUCUUUUGUCAGGGAGCAAAUGGCGCUACGUGUAGCGUUAUCGAGAGUCACUGAAGAAAAAGCAUCGGCUAACUCCGUGCCAGCCGCCGCGGUAAUACGGAGGAUGCGAGCGUUAUCCGGAUUUAUUGGGUUUAAAGGGUGCGUAGGCGGAAUUCCAAGUCAGCGGUAAAAUCGCGGGGUCCAACCUCGCUCCGCCGUUGAAAACGGGGUUCUUGAGUUGGCGAGAAGGAUGCGGAAUGCGUGGUGUAGCGGUGAAAUGAGUAGAUAUCACGAAGAACGCCGAUUGCGAAGGCAGCUCACUGGACUGCAACUGACACUGAGGCCCGAAAGUGUGGGUAUCAAACAGGAUUAGAUACCCCAGUAGUC